rnacentral:rRNA from 1 species
GACGAACGCUGGCGGCGUGCUUAACACAUGCAAGUCGAACGGAAAGGCCCUGCUUGCAGGGUACUCGAGUGGCGAACGGGUGAGUAACACGUGGGUGAUCUGCCCUGCACUUCGGGAUAAGCCUGGGAAACUGGGUCUAAUACCGGAUAGGAGCCAUUUUUCGUGUGAUGGUUGGAAAGUUUUUUCGGUGUAGGAUGAGCUCGCGGCCUAUCAGCUUGUUGGUGGGGUAAUGGCCUACCAAGGCGGCGACGGGUAGCCGGCCUGAGAGGGUGGACGGCCACAUUGGGACUGAGAUACGGCCCAGACUCCUACGGGAGGCAGCAGUGGGGAAUAUUGCACAAUGGGCGCAAGCCUGAUGCAGCGACGCCGCGUGGGGGAUGACGGCCUUCGGGUUGUAAACUCCUUUCGCUAGGGACGAAGCUUUUUGUGACGGUACCUAGAUAAGAAGCACCGGCUAACUACGUG